rnacentral:rRNA from 1 species
GAUGAACGCUGGCGGCGUGCCUAAUACAUGCAAGUCGAGCGAAUGGAUUAAGAGCUUGCUCUUAUGAAGUUAGCGGCGGACGGGUGAGUAACACGUGGGUGACCUGCCCAUAAGACUGGGAUAACUCCGGGAAACCGGGGCUAAUACCGGAUAACAUUUCGAACCGCAUGGUUCGAAAUUGAAAGGCGGCUUCGGCUGUCACUUAUGGAUGGACCCGCGUCGCAUUAGCUAGUUGGUGAGGUAACGGCUCACCAAGGCCACGAUGCGUAGCCGACCUGAGAGGGUGAUCGGCCACACUGGGACUGAGACACGGCCCAGACUCCUACGGGAGGCAGCAGUAGGGAAUCUUCCGCAAUGGACGAAAGUCUGACGGAGCAACGCCGCGUGAGUGAUGAAGGCUUUCGGGUCGUAAAACUCUGUUGUUAGGGAAGAACAAGUGCUAGUUGAAUAAGCUGGCACCUUGACGGUACCUAACCAGAAAGCCACGGCUAACUACGUGCCAGCCGCCGCCGUAA